UGUCUUGCUACAUUGUCCAGGCUGGACUUCAACUUCUGGGCUCAAGCAGUUCUCCUGCCUUAGCUUCCUGAGCAGCUAGUACUACAGGCACGAGCAACCAUGCCCAGGUAAGGUAUGUAAUACUAAAUAUGUAUUUCAAGAGCAAAUAUUGAAUGUGCACUCUGAGAUUAUAUUAUUUGGGAUUGAAUCCUCAGUCUGCCAUGUAUUAGCUUAGUAUUUCUCAACCUCAGCAGGACUGACAUUUUGGGCCACUUAGUUCUAUGUUGAAGGGGAGAGGGGCCUGCCUUACACACAGUAGGAUAUAUGGUAGGAUCUUGGGUUUCUACCUUCUAAAUGAGAAUAGCACCUGCCCAGUUACAACAAUUCACAAUGCCUUCAGACAUUACUAAAUAACUCCUGGCUUGGAGUGGGGUGGGGGUAGCGGGUGAAAAGGGUACGAUUGCCCAGAUUAGAGAGCCACUGCAUGAGGUGAUGACCUUGGGAAGGUUUAGAUCCUUCUGGGAUGCUAUUCUUUUUACCUGUAAAUUGUGUAUAAUAAAACCCAACUUACACUAUUGGAUGUAAGCACAGAAAUUCAUUAGCAUACACUUGGUAUAGGAAAAAGCACAAAAAAUAUUACUUAUUUAUCAGACAUUUACUAUUGUUUUAUGAAAGAUACAUACUGUAGCUAGGUAAUACAGGUCUAUGUGUGUAUGUAUCUGAAACUGAAAUAAAGACCUUAAGUGGUUUUUCCUAAAUUUAUGUAGGAAGUUUGAAUCACAGUCAGAUUUAGAACAAUCAGAUCUAGAUUUUCAGCAGGAAACAAAGCCAUAAAGUGGAUGUGACUUUCACGGCAAAAAGUUUCUUUUGCCUCUGAAAGCACCUCCCAGAAAGGACCCAGUGGGAGUGAAAGGAUGAUGUUGACCAUAACCCUGUUGCUUUGAUUUGGGGAAAACUCAUAAAACAUGAAUUUCCUGGUUUUGGUAGUCCCUCAGUACCCAAUAAUUUAGAAACUGUUCCUUUUUCCCCAAAGAGUAAGUGGUGCACUCAUAUUAAAAAAAAAAAAAAAAAAAGAAGAAGAAGAAAAAAGAAAAGAAGAAAAAAAUAAUUCAAAUCUCAGAGGCAAAUUAAGUUCAGUGGUGAAACCUUAGAAGACAUAGUAUUGUUUUUCUUAAGACCAUGCAGUGAGAAAAUAAUUAGUUCCUGUUUAAGAAUCAAUUACUAUUAAUACAUUAGCCUUACCCUUGAUUGAUUAUAAUAGUAUUACAUUUAUUUUUAUUGUUAUUAAUGCCAUCAUAAAGCUCAUGCUGGGGAAACAGAAAAAUAAUUUCCAGAGGGUUAUUCUUUAGUCUUAUAGGGAGAAUAAUUUACUUAGGUGAUCUGGAUUAUUGCUAGUGUGUCAUCAGGCUCUGUCUGUGAGACAUAAAGUAGGGUAAACCUGAAAAUGAAGUUUUACCUCCGGCUUGUAGCUAGACAAAACCAGAGAAUCCAGAAAUCUGCAAGAAACAGAUGCUGGUUGAAUAACAGACACUGGGAGGGCAGAACAGGUAACCUUGAUUGAAGUUACAGCCAGGCAUGCUUCAUUUCAAUUAAAAGGUUUCAAUAAUUUCCAUUGUUCAACAAUGGUAGUAGGGUAGCCAACACCCUGCUUGUUUACUCAGGACUCAGGGCAUCCCUAGGAUGUGGGAUUUUCAGCCUUAAAACCAGAAAAGUUCUGGGGAAGUCAGGCCACACUGGCUACCAUAACAACAGAUUGAGAAAGCUUUUAAAGUAGUGAGUGCUCCCUCACUAGAGGUGUUCAAGCAGAGGCUGACUGAUCAGUUCUCAGGGAUGUGUCAGAGCAGUCUUUGUUUCAAUGAAAGAGAGUGAGCUCAACAACUUCUGCAGGAGCCAUCCAAGUCUGAGACACUGAGAGCGUCUACAAAGAAAAGUGAUCUGUGCUAGAUCCAGCCUUAUUGCUAAAUCCUCUGGAUUUAUAAAUCCUUUCAUAUUUAGAACUCAAGCGAAUUGAGUUUUCCAAGAAGCGCCUUAAUCCCUCAGAGAAAUUUCCGCAAAAAAUCAUCAAUCACGAAAAUAUUUUAUACAGAGGCAGACAUUCAGAAUAUUACAAUGAUAAAAGCAAAGGAUUUGGAAUCAAAAGACUCAUGCUUUAAUUCUAAGUCUAGCACUCACUAGAUUUGGACAAUUUGUUUAAUCUCCCUGAUCAUUGAACUUCUCACCUCUGAAAUGAAGAUAAUAAUGUUUACCCUGCCUGUCUCUUGGGGCUGUUGGAAGGACCAUACAAGCUAGUGUAUGUCAAAGCAUUGUGAACUGCAAAGCACACUCAUGUUAAUUGCAGAUUUUUUUUGACAUGAUUCUGCCUAUCAUUCUAAGGUGUUGACAAAGCUUGUAUUGUGCUCAUAAGCCAAAUAGGUGUGUACAAGUUGUAUUACGUAAAAUAGGCUAAACUAUGGCACCAAAAUAAUGACAAAAUAUAAAACAGAUCAAUCCCAGUGCAGGUAUUUCUGGUUGGCAUUGAUUGUUUAUUGCAGUAAUUCAUAGGCUCAAAGAUUGUCUAUGAAUUACUGUGUCUUUGAAACUUUCUAGUUUUUGGC
rnacentral:lncRNA from 10 species